UACGAAGGGGCUAGCGUUGUCCGGAUUUAUUGGGCGUAAAGAGCGUGUAGGCGGCCAAGUAGGUCCGGUGUGAAACUCGAGGCUUAACCUCGAGAUGUCAUCGGAAACCAUUUGGCUAGAGUCCGGAAGAGGAGUGUGGAAUUCCUGGUGUAGCGGUGAGAUGCGCAGAUAUCAGGAAGAACACCUAUGGCGAAGGCGGCUCUGGCGGACGA
rnacentral:rRNA from 1 species